AUGGAAUUUGCCCUGGGUCAAAUAUUAACUCAGGAAGGAAGGAAGGAAGGAAGGAAGGAAGGAAGGAAGGAAGGAAGGAAGGAAGGAAGGAAGGAAGGAAGGAAGGAAGGAAGGAAGGAAGGAAGGAAGGAAGGAAGGAAGGAAGGAAGGAAGGAAGGAAGGAAGGAAGGAAGGAAGGAAGGAAGGAAGGAAGGAAGGAAGGAAGGAAGGAAGGAAGGAAGGGAGGAAGGGAGGAAAAGGGAAGGAAGGGAAGGGAAUUGAGAUGAUCUAUCUAAAGCCCAAGUCAAGUUGUUAGCCCACACUAUCUUAUACUUCUCUACCUACAAAUCUACUUCCUACAACUAGUUAAAUUAAACCCCCUUAGUUAAUCUAUAAAAGUGGGAAGGAAUUGAAGGUAGCAGGAACAGGGUUCAAAGGAAGGUCUCACGAGCAGUUGUCCUUUGGAGUCUUGAGCGUUGAGUGUUGGAAAUCACUCUCAGUAUCAACAGGAUUCCGUGGGACAGGCUGGAUCACAAGGUAAGCCACAGUAUAGAGAAUAUCUAGCUCUCUAGGUCCACCCUAGAAAUACUAGACGUAAACGCAACUCCUGGCUGCUUAACUGUCUCUCUCAGAAGAAGAAACUGCCCUGGCUCUUCUCCAGAGUUCUGGAACCUUUCUGUUCUGCCUUGCAGGACUGCUCCGGAUCCUGCUAAUUUCCCUUUAACGAUAGUAACAGCAAUUUUAUGGAAUGACCAACUGUGGCAGACUUAGCUACUAUUAACAGUACAGUGGUUUGGGACAAUUCGAGGGACUUAUGACAAAGAAUGCUACCUACCUCCAAAGAAAGAAUUGUUGAAGUUGGAAUGCAGACGAAAGCUUAUGACUUCUACCAAUAUUUAUGAAAAAUAUGGUGCUCAUACUUAAACCAGGGAGAGAAAGAAAAUAAUAGAGCAAUCUCAUUAAUGAAUAUGGAUGCAAAAUAACAAAAGAAAAUAUUAGCCAGAAGACUACAACAAUAUAUUACAAAGAUUGGGAACAAACAGGAUUUGGACCAAGAAUGGUUUAAGACAAGGAAAACUAUCAACAUAAUUGUGAAAUAUAUGCCUCCCUCCAAAUGGAGGUGCAUUGUUUGGCAAAGGCCUAGAUGGAUGGGAGAUGAGAAACACCCACCCAGGAACCUCCCCAGGGCCACUAGAGCAGGAACCCUUGGGCUUUGGAAACCAGGUUUAUUUUGAUAACUGGAGUAGGGAAAAAGGUAGGUAGGCUCCUAACACUACAGAUCUAGACCCGAGAGGUCGCCCUUUGUUUUCUUCUGUCGAUCAUGCCUAUCCACUCCCUGCUCUAUCUAAAACCCCAAAAUGCUAUCUGAUUAUCUGCUCACCUAACUACUUAAAUUGUCUUUAAGGAGGCUGAAGAGACAGGACUGACUAGUAGCCUGAAUCCCCUCUCAAGCCUGGGGUUGGUUUCAUAGGUAACCCAGGUGAUAAAAUCCUUGGGAUUGCCUUAACCAAGUAGAUCUCUGACUGGUAGCUCUCAGACAGGUUGAUCUCUGUACUCCAGGGAAAAGGCAGUCUUCUCCAACCCAGGAAUCCCUAACCUUUCCACAAGAUGAGUAUUUCCCAGGGGAUGCCAGAGCAAAGAUCCUCCUUACCAGCUCAGAGGAAAGCCAGAUCAGGAGUGACUGUUAAAUCCAGUAAAAUCUCCUAAGAGCCUCCUCUCCUUCCAGAAUCUUUUCCCAGGGUUUCUAUCUAAAUUCUUCUCCUUUCCUUAAAGACAAUCUAUGAAUUUUUCUCUAUCCCUUAGUACUUAUCCUUACAAUUGAUUAAGUUAAUAAUUUAAUAAAACCAUAUGACUAUAGCA
ensembl:lncRNA